GAUGAAGAACGUAGCGAAAUGCGAUAAGUAAUGCGAAUUGCAGAAUUUCCGUGAGUCAUCGAAUCUUUGAACGGACAUUGCGCCCACUGGUAUUCCGGUGGGCAUGCCUGUUCGAGCGUCAUUAUCCUCCCUCAAACCUCGGGUUUGGUGUUGGACCCAAGUUGUGUGAACAACUGGUCUUAAAGACAAUGACGGCGUCCGUGGGACCCUCGGUGCAACGAGCUUUUAGGAGCACGCGUGGAGUUUCAAGGACCUUCCGGGCCGGUCUCCUUUACCAUUUUACAAGGUUGACCUCGGAUCAGGUAGGAAUACCCGCUGAACUUAAGCAUAUCAAUAAGCGGAGGA
rnacentral:misc_RNA from 1 species